CUACACACGCACAGGCUCGCCUCCUCUCCCUCUCACCCACGAAGUCACCGCCGCCUCCGCCGCCGCCCACGUCGGCCGAUUCCGGCGAUCUCCGGCACCGCGCAGCACGCCCUCGAGAUCCCCACGAUCCGCGCCUCCCUUCCCUCCGGCCAGAUUCUCCGCUCCCGGCCUCUAUUGCAAGCUCGCAACCCCACCCCCGUGGCUAGGGUUUCGGGCAGGGCUUCACCGGCAUGUCUCCGGCGACCCCAGAUGCAUAUGGAGCACGCCGUGGGAUUUUCCCAUCCACCACGGUCGCCGUCGUCAAGGGCUUCUUCACGGAUUUGGAACGCCAUGGACCUGCAGCUCCUCAAGCUAAGAACAUGCUGUCAACAUCACGGAACGACAUGGAGCUGCAGACGUGCACUUUGGAGCAGAGGUUGACUUGCAGUUGCGUCUGCAAUCUCCCAAACAAAUGAGCAGCACCAUGCAGUUGUGGGCUUGCAGUAGGUUGGUAGGUGAAUGGUCAUAGCGGGAAUACAACGAGCAUGUCGACUGCUGCGAGUAUUCCAUUCAAGUCGACGACUACAUUUGCAAGAGUUUUACACCACUGUGUGAUCGAUGAAUUCGAGGUCCGAUGCCCAUCUGGGGGCCGGAGUAGAUUCAUCAGACGGUGGAGUUGAGUGACCCACUCAUUGAUCCCAGAUGUGCUCAAGUGAAGCCAGGGAUUUGAUCCAUCCAUCUUGGAGCGGAUGAAUCAACAGAGAAUCCAUCCGGUCAACAAGUGAAUUUAGGCUUGAUUAAUUAGCAGGAGCAUACGAGUCUCUUGUGCACAUGUAGUUUAGGUGUACACAGGUUCAGGUAGUCAACUGUUAAGCAUGGUAGGAUUCGCAAGCUGGGCAGUAGGCGGCGUCACGGUACAAUCCAGCAGGGCGGCGGAGGAGGCGGACAGUGGUGACUGGGGAGGAUACGAAGUGGGAUGGAUAGGUUGAGGGAAAUUUGUGGGUCUGGACUGGAGCAGAGGGAGAUAGAGAAUGGGUGAGAAAGAUGGAGAUGUUGAUAGGUAACACCUGUAGCAACGAGAUGUUGAUAGUUUACUUUUCUUCAUCUCCAACGCAACUAUCAACUGAUGCGCUAAUUGUAUCAUCACAGUUCUCAUGUAAGCAAAGGAUCUUGCUUCUUCCCGAAUUAGAUUUUGAAGUAUUCCACUUCUAUUGUUUCUUCAGGCAUAAUGCAUUUGAUCACGGUUCUCAUGUGAUCGGCUACCUGCAGAUCUACAUACUAGGGCCGUGAUGUGCAAUGGAGGAGUCUUGACGAUCCAAUGAUUUAUUUGUGUUUGGUUUUGCUGCAUGGGUCAGUAUGUGCAUAUCCUUGGAUGUAGUAUUGCUUUUCCUAACUGUGUUUUCUAGAUUAGACAAUGAUUCGCAAUGUACUAGGAGGUUUGGACAGCAAGUGAUUGUCACCAACACCAAGGAUCAGGUUCCUGCCAGAAGAACCCAAAGCAGAGCAAGAGAAGGAAAUGAAGGUGAAGCUGCAGGUUCUAUUGGAGAGAGGGCUGCAUCACAUACUUGCUGCAAAGGCCAUGUUGUCAAGGAGCCGGUGACUGCCGCUCCAGCUGCCUCGUGCCAUGCCCCAUUGUGAGAGUCUGCAUCUGGCUCGCGCCACCACUCCAGCAGGCACUCAACGCGCAAUCCUGGGUUGUUGUGUUGACUUGAUACAGUCGCUGAUAACAGUGAUGCAGCGCUCUAGCUAAUAGUUAGUAUUGGUGUCUGACUGGAGCAACUAGAGUCGCUAGCUAUUGUGCUAAAAGCAACAGGAUGGAUUUGCUCCAUGCAAGAAGACAGUAAGGAUAAAGGAGCAAAAAGCAGGCCGUUGGUGGUGAUGGAUAAUUUCUCCAAUCAAUUUAAUCAUAGACGCCUUCCAACAUUGCACACUAAGCGAUUGCAUUGCUUAGAUAUAUAGAAAGGCGGCUUCUGUUUUCAAGAAAGUUCAGGUGUCGUGAUUGUUAAUUUUUUAUGCCAACAAUUACAUAAGCUUGGCUGACAAGUAUACAUUCUGAAUUGUAUGUUCAGAUGAUAUUCACAUAUUUAGACUGAACCUUUAAACCUAGCAUAUUUAUUUUUCUCACCUAACGAUUUUGAUUAUGUACGAUAUGUAUCCCAUAGAAAGCUGGUUUUGACAUUACAAUCUGGCACUGAAUAAAUAGAAAAAG
rnacentral:rRNA from 1 species